AUUGAACGCUGGCGGCAGGCCUAACACAUGCAAGUCGAACGAGUGGCUGACGGGUGAGUAAUGUCUGUGACACUGCCUGAUGGGGGGGGAUAACUAAUGUAAAAGGUAGCUAAUACAGCAUACCAUCAGAUGUGCCCAUAUGGGAUUGGCUAGUUGGUGGGGUAACUGAUCACCAAGGCGACUAUCCCGAGCUGGUCUGAGAGGAUGACCAUCUACACGGGAACUGAGAUCAGGUCCAGACUCCGUCGGGAGACAGGAGUGGGGAAUAUUGCACAAUGGGCGCAAGCCUGAUGCAGCCAUGACGCUUGUAUGAAGAAGGCCUUCGGGGUGUAAAGUACUUGCAGCGGGGAGGCGUUACCCGCAGAAGAAUCACCGGCUAACUCCGUGCCAGCAGCCGCGGUAAUAC
rnacentral:rRNA from 1 species